CAAAACAUAGCUUAACCAAAAGCAUUCAGUUUACACCUGAAAGAUGUCCCUUAAAAUAGGACUAUUUUGA
rnacentral:tRNA from 1 species